GCACCUGUAGCUCAGUUGGAUAGAGUAUCUGGCUUCGAACCAGAGGGUCGCAGGUUCGAGUCCUGCCGGGUGUA
rnacentral:tRNA from 1 species